AUGGCAAACGGGGGCGACAUCAUCGCGCGCACCCAAAAGCAGGGGACAAAACUCUGCUUUCCCAAGCAAACCCAACAGCUUUCCCCACUCCCACUCCCCAACUCCCCACUCCAGCCAGCAAUGACAGACGAUCCCGCCGCCGCGGGGACCGGCCGAGGAGCGCCGCCGCCGCCGCCGGCCCGGCCGCCGAGGCCGCUCUCCGUCGUGUCCGCCCUCCCCUUCUGGUUCUACCUCACCGCCGCGGUCUCCCUCCUCGCGCUCGUCCUCCCCCACCUCCUCUCUCCCCACGCCUCCCCUCCCCUCCCGCCUCUCCUCCGCCGCCACCUCUCCGACGGCCGCCUCCUCAAGCUCCACCCAGGCCCCGACCUCUUCGCCUUCACCUCCCGCCCCGCCGCCCACUCCGCGCGCCACCACCCCGUGCUCGUCCUCCCGGGCCUCGCCGCCGGAUCCUUCUCCUUCCGCCGCAUCCUCUCCUCCCUCUCGUCCCAUGGCCUCGUUGCCGCGGCCGUCGACCUCCCUGGGCAAGGCCUCUCGCCGCCUCCCGCCGCCCCUCCUCCACGCACGAACCCGCUCCGGGAGAUCAUGGACCGCGGCAUCUUCCACGCGUUCGAGCACCUCGUCGAGACCGGCGAGGUCCCGUUCCAGGAAACGGCCCCCGAGCCGUCCCGCUCCUUUUACGCGGCCAGCGAGGCGGCCGCGGCCGUGGCCCGUUCCGUGGACGCGCUCGGCCUCGCGCCUGUCCACCUCGUGCUCCACGACUCCGCCCUCGCCGCCGGCGCCGCCUUCGUGUCGGCCAACCCGGCGGCCGUGCAGAGUGUCACUCUGAUCGACGCCACUGCCACUUUGCCGGCUUUCCCGGCGGCCGUUCUCGGCGUGCCGGCGCUGGGGAGGCUGGUGCUGCGGGUGCCGGCAUUGUUCAAGGGGCUGAUGCGUCUGUCCUGCUCCCGGGGGGUGGAUGCAGAGGAGGCCGACGCGCUCAGGGCGGCGAUGCGGGGGCAAGGGAAGAGGGAUGCGGUGUUUGAGGCCUGGAAGGCCAUGAAUCAGAGCUUUGACCUUGUAGAGUGGAGGAGUUCUUCAGAGGAGGUGAAGAGGCUGCCGAUGAUGGUUCUGUGGUCGGGUUCUUGGUCGGAUAUGUGGAUCGAUGAGGGGAAGAAGGUGACCAAGGCGUUGCCGGACGCCAAGUUCAUCUACCAUUAUGGCGGCCGAUGGCCUCAGGUGGAUGCAUAUGAGGAAAUCUCAAAGUUGAUAGCAGAUUUUGUGACCAUGUUACCAACAACUGCGACAGAGCACCUGUCGCAAAAUAUGGACCAAUCAUCUGACGAACCAGCAGAUGCUCACAGCGAUCAUCCAGCUUUAUAA
rnacentral:rRNA from 1 species